UGAUUGGUUGGUUGGUUCACUUUUCCAGAAAGUAGAAACGAUGAGCAGGAAUACAGGAAGAAAUAUUGUCUUUGUUCUUUAUAAUUUAGCUAUCAAUUAUUUUUACCAGGUUCGAACCUGUAAAAUGGCUCAAGCGAGCAUUGAACCGUAAACCAUCAUCCCUCAUCCCUCAUCUCUCAUCAGGUUCGAACCCGGGAUGAGAGCCCCGAUUCAUUCCUUUACCCAGAUGUCCCUCGAAAAUGGCUCAAGCGAGUAUCAAACAUGCGUCUCCACUAGAGAGGGCAUGUCAAUAGUACUUAUGUAAUAAAUGUAUCAACAUUGUAAUAAAAUAUAAUAUUGUUGUUGUUGUUUUUUUUUUUUUUUGUAUUUUGUAGGUUAUAGAGAAAACGAACUAAAUUAUACAACUAUAUUUAAAU
rnacentral:lncRNA from 1 species